UCUGGAGAGAGGAAGGCAGACAGUGAGUCUUGAGGAGAUGGCAUACAGCUGCGGAAGAAGCAGCAGUUCCGGGCAUCAUGGGUACGCCAAGACCAUGUGGAAAUACAUAGAUUAAUAGUUAUGGGUUAAUAACUAAGAGAGAGCUAGCCAAUAAGAAACCUAAGCCAUCAGCCAAACAGUUUAUAAUUAAUAUAAGCCUCAGUGUGUUUAUUUGGAACUAAACAGUUGCGGGAUUGGGCAGGACAGAAACCUCCGUCUACAAUUACUGACACUAGACUGCUAUAUGAGGUUGGCACAAAACAGAAUGCCUUUUCACCUGAUCUCUGUAGGAAAAGGGGUGUGGAUGGAAUCCAUAGCCUCGCACUGGCAAGCAUGAAGAAGAAAGCUGAGACCAGAAGAAUGGAUUAGAAUUCAUGAGCCAUUUGUUCAGCUUUGAAUUGAUGGAGCCCUGGCUGGCUGGAGAGGCCAGAGCGAAAACUGGCCGAGGCCCUGCAGAAAUGGACCCAGGCUCUCAUCCUCCCUCUGGCAGAAGGGAAAUGUGAUGUGCAUGUUCACUCUGGAAACCUCCAAAUGUCAGCCCUGAGAAGGUCCCUGAUUCCUCACAGCAGUUCUGUGCGGCAAAACCCUUUGCAGGGAAAAGAAAUUGCCUAAGGUCUCACGUGAGUGAGAAUGAGGACCCGCAGGCAGGGUUCUCUGGCUUCAAAGUCUAGACUUUGCAUUUUAUGUUAAAUCGCCUUGUAUGACAAUGUUAUAUUGCAUAGACAAUAAUAUCUUGCUCUUCUCGGGCAAGAAUGGUCAUGGGAUUUUGUUCAUCUCUGGGAGAAAAAUACAGUCAACCCUCCAAAAUUAUAUACAAAAAAUUUUUAUAUUGAUUUGUUCAUUUGAACUGCAUGGUUAAUGUAGAAGGUGCUGUGAAAAUGCAUGUUGUUGAGGGAAUUUUCUGGGUACAGUGAACAGUCUUUUCUUCAAGACAGCAGUCAUUGGAGGAGGAGCUAUGUGCUCAGCCUGAGCAGACAUCCCAUAUUUGCCUGUGUGCUACUUUGGCUUGUUCAGUGCAUACACCAUGGUGUUUGAACACUAUGUUUUCUUUUCUUCUUCUCAUACACCAAUAAUAAAAUAAAAAGUCAAUAUUAAAAAUGAUUUGAUACAGA
rnacentral:lncRNA from 1 species